GAGUUUGAUCCUGGCUCAGGAUGAACGCUAGCGGGAGGCCUAACACAUGCAAGCCGAGCGGUAGAGAUCUUUCGGGAUCUUGAGAGCGGCGUACGGGUGCGGAACACGUGUGCAACCUGCCUUUAUCUGGGGGAUAGCCUUUCGAAAGGAAGAUUAAUACCCCAUAAUAUACUGAAUGGCAUCAUUCGGUAUUGAAAACUCCGGUGGAUAGAGAUGGGCACGCGCAAGAUUAGAUAGUUGGUGAGGUAACGGCUCACCAAGUCUACGAUCUUUAGGGGGCCUGAGAGGGUGAUCCCCCACACUGGUACUGAGACACGGACCAGACUCCUACGGGAGGCAGCAGUGAGGAAUAUUGGACAAUGGGUGAGAGCCUGAUCCAGCCAUCCCGCGUGAAGGACGACGGCCCUAUGGGUUGUAAACUUCUUUUGUAUAGGGAUAAACCUACCCUCGUGAGGGUAGCUGAAGGUACUAUACGAAUAAGCACCGGCUAACUCCGUG
rnacentral:rRNA from 1 species